ANNNNNCGGCGAAAGCCGGAGGAAGGCGGGGAUGACGUCAAAUCAUCAUGCCCCUUAUGUCCUGGGCUACACACGUGCUACAAUGGCCGUUACAGAGGGAAGCGAAACCGCGAGGUGGAGCCAAUCUCAGAAAAGCGGUCUCAGUUCGGAUCGCAGGCUGCAACUCGCCUGCGUGAAGUAGGAAUCGCUAGUAAUCGCGGAUCAGCAUGCCGCGGUGAACACGUUCCCGGGCCUUGUACACACCGCCCGUCACACCACGAGAGUGGGUCAUACCCGAAGUCGGUGGGGGAACCCGGUUUACCGGGACCCAGCUGCCGAAGGUAGGGCUCGCGAUUGGGGUGAAGUCGUAACAAGGUAUCCCUACCGGAAGGUGGGGA
rnacentral:rRNA from 1 species